CACAGAAAGGACAUGUCAACUUGUCAAUAGUUCGUAUAUUUUAUGUUGUCCUACAGCAAAUUGAUUGCUCUUUUCAAAUAUCCAUACGAAUGCAACGUAUAGUACACCCAUACUAGAAAAUGUACCUAAAUGGUUAUUUCACAUCAAUUCACAUGUCGGUAUCAUAAAAAUGGACGAAAUAUUGUAGAUCAAUUUCUUUAAUUAUGAAGCAAAGUAAAAAUUUACUUUAAUUAGAUAUUUUUGGUCCAGACUGUACCCGCGAGAUGCAAAAGUAAAUGUGCACUAUAAGGGAAGUUUUCCUAAUGACGACAUGGCCCAAGGCGAGGGUGAAACAAAGAACUCAAGAUUUGGCGAUUAUUUUUACACAUUCUUUGAAGGAUUUUUCGUAAUUCAUGACUCGUAUACUUUUACAGCACCUCUAGUUCCAUCCCUAUCCCACCCUAAUGCAAUUAAGGGAUUUAUCAGGUGAAAUUAUUUCCUAUUGUUACUAAAAGAAGCGCGACCUGCAUGAUUUGUCUGAUGGUGAUUUACGUAAAGAUGACGUAACAGGUUACGUUCAUUUUCGUUUAGCCUCUUAUCAUAAUUAUGCUCUAUGAAGCGUAUAUGAGUAAUGCAAAACUACGAUAAACGUUCACCCCGGUUGACCCUGAUAACUGUUAUAUAGGUAAAUGUAUUGCAAUUUUCGAGUUAGUUUCUAAAUUGAAGUGACACAGUGCGCAUCUAUUUAAACAAGUGCCGUCGUUUUCUAAAGGAAAAGCUUAGGUACCUUGGGGGUGAGAUUUUUAAUCAUCCAUAAAGCACUAGGGACAUGCAAUUCGUGCCUGAAGGAAUGACGAUGAUGGUGGGAAGGAAUUGCGAAAGUCGUCAUAGCGUCAUCAGCAACUAGAUCCUUUUGGAAUCGUGGUGGAAUACAACAUGCGAUGAUCUGAUAGCGACAUGCAGUUCGUGCCUGAAGGAAUGACGAUGAUGGUGGGAAGGAAUUGCGAAAGUCGUCAUAGCGUCAUCAGCAACUAGAUCCUUUUGGAAUCGUGGUGGAAUACAACAUGCGAUGAUCUGAUAGGGACAUGCAAUUCGUGCCUGAAGGAAUGACGAUGAUGGUGGGAAGGAAUUGCGAAAGUCGUCAUAGCGUCAUCAGCAACUAGAUCCUUUUGGAAUCGUGGUGGAAUACAACAUGCGAUGAUCUGAUAGCGACAUGCAGUUCGUGCCUGAAGGAAUGACGAUGAUGGUGGGAAGGAAUUGCGAAAGUCGUCAUAGCGUCAUCAGCAACUAGAUCCUUUUGGAAUCGUGGUGGAAUACAACAUGCGAUGAUCUGAUAGGGACAUGCAAUUCGUGCCUGAAGGAAUGACGAUGAUGGUGGGAAGGAAUUGCGAAAGUCGUCAUAGCGUCAUCAGCAACUAGAUCCUUUUGGAAUCGUGGUGGAAUACAACAUGCGAUGAUCUGAUAGGUAUGUUCAGAAUUUUGAGAAAUGAUUAUUAUAAUUUUACUAUAGUCAAUCGUAUAGAUUCAAUCUGCUGAAUUCUUGAAUUCGUUCCAAUCUAACUGAUUGAGCACAAUAUUUCAAUUGUUUUUCAAAAAUUUUUGCAAGAUUACAAAAACAAUCACGAUCAUAGAGAAUGGCCCCAAAUUUUAUAUACCCUUUUUGAUAACGUGACCACAUUAAAAUUGACGCUCCACAUUUCCCAAUAGCUAUAGGCACCUAAUUAAUUUUGGACUGGACAUUUUAUAUUUAUAUAGAAACACUCAGACACCAAAUUUCGUGAAAAUCGAAAUUUUUGUUGCACAGUCCCCCAGGGACGAGUAGG